rnacentral:lncRNA from 1 species
GGAGUUGUCAGUCUCAGAGGGGUGUAUUUUACAGCGCUCCGUCUCCCGCCUGCCCUAGGACGUCAGCUGUUACAAGCACUUUGGAAGGAAGCAGCUCACGGCUCUCUGCUUAGACCUAGCCAUGACGAGGACGUCUACGUGCGUAUACCACUUGUUUGUCUUGAGCUGGUAUAUCUUCCUCAACUUUUAUAUCUCACUAGAAGGAAAGGAUCCGCAGAUAUCCCUAAUCUUUCAAAAGGGGGGAAAAUGGAAGUACCUAACACUGCUUAAUCUGCUCUUGCAGGCCAUUUUCUUCGGGGUGGCCUGCCUGGAAGAUGUGCUGAAAAGAACCAAAGGGGAAAAAGACAUUAAGUUCAUAACGGCCUUCAGAGACCUGCUUUUCACCACACUGGCUUUUCCACUAUCCACAUUUGUAUUUCUGGCAUUCUGGAUUAUCUUUCUCUACGAUAGAGAACUCAUUUACCCUAAGGUCCUAGAUACCGUCUUUCCAGUGUGGUUGAAUCAUGCAAUGCACACUUUCAUCCUGCCCUUCUCGCUAGUCGAGGUCAUCCUCAGACCACACUGCUACCCGUUGAGGAAGAAAGGACUCACUCUGUUGACUGCUGCUGGGCUCGCCUAUGUCAGCAGGACCCUGUGGAUCUACUCUGAGACGGGUACAUGGGUAUAUCCUGUGUUUGCCAAACUCAGCCCAGUGGGUCUAGCAGCCUUGUUCUCUCUCAGCCACAUCUUUAUCAUCGGCAUCUACCUAUUUGGAGAGAAGCUCAACCACUGGAAAUGGGCUAAACGCCAUCUUGUUUAGAGAGCUUUGGAUCCAAAGAGCAUGGUGUCACCAUCCCCUCCAUGAAAAAAUGGACUCAGAACCUCCCUCUCUUGAGUGAGGACUUGAGAUUCACAAGCUCUUCAAUGUCAAGAUUUCUUCUUCGACUGAAAUGGGUCCAGGUGACCUGAGCUCCUCCCGCCCUCAGCUGUCCCUUCCCUGAAGAGUUACCAGCCCUCUCCCACUAGGUUGCUUCUCAGACUUCAGUAAAGUGUUCAUCAGGUAAAAUCACACCCUGUACUUGAGAUCAGAAUUCUCGUUGGAGGUUUUAGGCAAUGUGAGUAUGUCAGAGAGCUGAGCUUUCUAAUUAUAGGCAGGCAGAACUACGUUGCUUCUUCAUAGCAAAAAAAUAAGCCCAACUUAGUUGGUUUUAAAGUGAAAGAUUUCAUUCUCCUCCCUGCUCCCCCUACUGCUCCCACCCCCAGAAUAUUUUCUUUUGGAAAAGUAACCACGGAAAAGU